GAUGAACGCUGGCGGCGUGCCUAAUACAUGCAAGUCGAGCGAACAGACGAGGAGCUUGCUCCUCUGACGUUAGCGGCGGACGGGUGAGUAACACGUGGAUAACCUAUCUAUAAGACUGGGAUAACUUCGGGAAACCGGAGCUAAUACCGGAUAAUAUAUUUAACCGCAUGGUUCAAUAGUGAAAGACGGUUUUGCUGUCACUUAUAGAUGGAUCCGCGCCGCAUUAGCUAGUUGUUAAGGUAACGGCUUACCAAGGCAACGAUGCGUAGCCGACCUGAGAGGGUGAUCGGCCACACUGUAACUGAGACACGGUCCAGCCUCCUACGGGUGGCAGCAGUAGGGAAUCUUCCGCAAUGGGCGAAAGCCUGACGGAGCAACGCCGCGUGAGUGAUGAAGGUCUUCGGAUCGUAAAACUCUGUUAUUAGGGAAGAACAAAUGUGUAAGUAACUAUGCACGUCUUGACGGUACCUAAUCAGAAAGCCACGGCUAACUACGUG
rnacentral:rRNA from 1 species